GUCUCAGUAGCUCAGCUGGAUAGAGCAAUGCCCUUCUAAGGCAUCGGCCGGGGGUUCGAAUCCCUCCUGGGACGUCA
rnacentral:tRNA from 3 species